AGUUAUUUAGCUUAUUUAAAGCUUUUAUUUUGAAAAUAAAGAAAAGAUAAUAUAUUUAAUAACUU
rnacentral:tRNA from 1 species